rnacentral:rRNA from 1 species
UCGGGAAUUUUGGGCAAUGGGGGAAACCCUGACCCAGCAACGCCGCGUGAAGGAUGAAGUAUUUCGGUAUGUAAACUUCGAAAGAAUAGGAAGAAUUAAUGACGGUACUAUUUAUAAGGUCCGGCUAACUACGUGCCAGCAGCCGCGGUAAUACGUAGGGACCAAGCGUUGUUCGGAUUUACUGGGCGUAAAGGGCGCGUAGGCGGCAUGGUAAGUCACUUGUGAAAUCUCCGAGCUUAACUCGGAACGGCCAAGUGAUACUGCUGAGCUAGAGUGCAGAAGGGGCAAUCGGAAUUCUUGGUGUAGCGGUGAAAUGCGUAGAUAUCAAGAGGAACACCUGAGGUGAAGACGGGUUGCUGGGCUGACACUGACGCUGAGGCGCGAAAGCUAGGGGAGCAAACG